AUUGAACGCUGGCGGCAGGCCUAACACAUGCAAGUCGAACGAGUGGCGGACGGGUGAGUAAUGUCUGGGAAACUGCCCGAUGGAGGGGGAUAACUACUGGAAACUGUAGCUAAUACCGCAUACCAUCGGAUGUGCCCAGAUGGGAUUAGCUAGUUGGUGGGGUAAUGGCUCACCUAGGCGCCGAUCCCUAGCUGGUCUGAGAGGAUGACCGGCCACACUGGAACUGAGACACGGUCCAGACUCGUACGUGAGGCAGCAGGGGGGAAUAUUGCACAAUGUGCGCAAGCCUGAUGCAGCCAUGCCGCGUGUAUGAAGAAGGCCUUCGGGUUGUAAAGUACUUUCAGCGAGGAGGCGUUACUCGCAGAAGGAGCACCGGCUAACUCCGUGCCAGCAGCCGCGGUAAUAC
rnacentral:rRNA from 1 species